rnacentral:rRNA from 1 species
UACAGAGGUGGCAAGCGUUGUUCGGAAUUACUGGGCGUAAAGGGCGCGUAGGCGGUCUUGCAAGUCCCGUGUGAAAUCCCUCGGCUCAACUGAGGAACUGCACGGGAAACUGCUUGGCUUGAGUUCGGGAGAGGGAAGCGGAAUUCCCCAAGUAGAGGUGAAAUUCGUAGAUAUGGGGAGGAACACCGGUGGCGAAGGCGGCCACCUGGACGGUAACUGACGCUGAGACGCGAAAGCGUGGGGAGCAAACAGG